GGCAGUCAAUUGCCUUCAAUCAGUCAAGUUAGCAGUACCUACCUAUGCUUUAAUGUUUAAAUUUUGAACAUCAUGUCAACUGUUUCCAAGGUUACAAUGUUGAUACUUUUCCUUGUAGUAUCACUGUUGGUAGAAAUACAGUGCCUCCCACGCUGUCCGAUUGGCCACGACUGCCCCUCAGCAAAAGGAUGGGCUACCUGAAUGAACUACUAUUCCAUCUUCUGUUCUAAAGCUCAUGGUUUUCAUUCUACACAAAUCAGAUUCAUUUCAUCACGAGUGAGCAGAAUCCAUUGAUGGUGGUUUCACUCAGUUCAGAAGCAUCCAACAAAUUUUUGGUCUUAUCCAGUUCUUGAAAAAUGUCUACAAAAAAAUUCAACAUGAAAAUUCAGCGCUUACAAAUUGAGCUGAUUAACUGUCAGUGUGACCUCAUUUCAUCGAUUUUCAGUGAAAAUUUUCUACUCGUUUCUGCAGGUUUCAAUUUAUAUUUUAAUAGGUAGGUACUAGGUACAUAUUAUAUUUGGUAUUCUAGAA